GANAUUGGUCAAUGGACGCAAGUCUGACCAGCCAUGCCGCGUGCAGGAUGAAGGCCCUCUGGGUCGUAAACUGCUUUUAUCUAUGAAGAAAUCACCUGUUUCUACGGGUGUUGACGGUAAUAGAGGAAUAAGCACCGGCUAACUCCGUGCCAGCAGCCGCGGUAAUACNGGAGGGUGCAAGCGUUAUCCGGAUUUACUGGGUUUAAAGGGUGCGUAGGCGGGUUGGUAAGUCAGUGGUGAAAGCCCCGGGCCUAACUCGGGAACUGCCAUUGAUACUAUCAAUCUUGAAUUCAGUUGAGGUGGGCGGAAUGUGUCGUGUAGCGGUGAAAUGCUUAGAUAUGACACAGAACACCAAUUGCGAAGGCAGCUCGCUAAACUGACAUUGACGCUGAGGCACGAAAGCGUGGGGAUCAAACAGGAUUAGAUACCCUGGUAGUCCACGCCCUAAACGAUGAUUACUCGACAUUAGCGAUAUACUGUUAGUGUCUAUGCAAAAGCAUUAAGUAAUCCACCUGGGGAGUACGGCCGCAAGGCUGAAACUCAAAGAAAUUGACGGA
rnacentral:rRNA from 1 species